rnacentral:rRNA from 1 species
GACGGAGGGUCCUAGCGUUGUUCGGAAUUACUGGGCGUAAAGGGUGCGUAGGCGGCCAUUUAAGUCGGGUGUGAAAGCCCGGGGCUCAACCCCGGAACGGCAUCCGAGACUGGGUGGCUUGAGACCGGGAGAGGAGGGUGGAAUACCCAGUGUAGAGGUGAAAUUCGUAGAUAUUGGGUGGAACACCGGUGGCGAAAGCGGCUCUCUGGCCCGGUUCUGACGCUGAGGCACGAAAGCGUGGGGAGCAAACAGGAUUAGAAACCCCCGUAGUCC